rnacentral:rRNA from 1 species
GUGGGGAAUAUUGGACAAUGGACGAAAGCCUGAUCCAGCCAUGCCGCGUGUGUGAAGAAGGUCUUCGGAUUGUAAAGCACUUUAAGUUGGGAGGAAGGGCAGUAAGUUAAUACCUUGCUGUUUUGACGUUACCGACAGAAUAAGCACCGGCUAACUUCGUGCCAGCAGCCGCGGUAAUACGAAGGGUGCAAGCGUUAAUCGGAAUUACUGGGCGUAAAGCGCGCGUAGGUGGUUUUGUAAGUUGGAGGUGAAAUCCCCGGGCUCAACCUGGGAACUGCCUCCAAAACUGCAUGACUAGAGUACGGUAGAGGGUAGUGGAAUUUCCUGUGUAGCGGUGAAAUGCGUAGAUAUAGGAAGGAACACCAGUGGCGAAGGCGACUACCUGGACUGAUACUGACACUGAGGUGCGAAAGCGUGGGGAGCAAACAGGAUUAGAUACCCCGGUAGUCC